UUAAGCUGCUAAGAGCGAGACCGAGUAGUGUAGUGGGAGACCAUACGCGAAACUCUCGUGCUGCAAUCU